rnacentral:rRNA from 1 species
UACGAAGGGGGCUAGCGUUGCUCGGAAUCACUGGGCGUAAAGCGCACGUAGGCGGACUCUUAAGUCAGGGGUGAAAUCCUGGAGCUCAACUCCAGAACUGCCUUUGAUACUGGCGAUCUUGAGUCCGGGAGAGGUGAGUGGAACUGCGAGUGUAGAGGUGAAAUUCGUAGAUAUUCGCAAGAACACCAGUGGCGAAGGCGGCUCACUGGUCCGGUACUGACGCUGAGGAGCGAAAGCGUGGGGAGCAAACAGG